rnacentral:rRNA from 1 species
GACGAACGCUGGCGGCGUGCUUAACACAUGCAAGUCGAACGGAAAGACCCUGCUUUUGUGGGGUGCUCGAGUGGCGAACGGGUGAGUAACACGUGAGUAACCUGCCCUUGACUUUGGGAUAACUUCAGGAAACUGGGGCUAAUACCGGAUAGGAGCUCCUGCUGCAUGGUGGGGGUUGGAAAGUUUCGGCGGUUGGGGAUGGACUCGCGGCUUAUCAGCUUGUUGGUGGGGUAGUGGCUUACCAAGGCUUUGACGGGUAGCCGGCCUGAGAGGGUGACCGGCCACAUUGGGACUGAGAUACGGCCCAGACUCCUACGGGAGGCAGCAGGGGGGAAUAUUGCACAAUGGGCGGAAGCCUGAUGCAGCAACGCCGCGUGCGGGAUGACGGCCUUCGGGUUGUAAACCGCUUUCGCCUGUGACGAAGCGUGAGUGACGGUAAUGGGUAAAGAAGCACCGGCUAACUACGUG